rnacentral:rRNA from 1 species
GACGAACGCUGGCGGCGUGCUUAACACAUGCAAGUCGAACGGAAAGGCCUCUUUCGGGGGGUACUCGAGUGGCGAACGGGUGAGUAACACGUGAGUAACCUGCCCUUGACUUUGGGAUAACUUCAGGAAACUGGGGCUAAUACCGGAUAGGAGCUCCUGCUGCAUGGUGGGGGUUGGAAAGUUUCGGCGGUUGGGGAUGGACUCGCGGCUUAUCUGCUUGUUGGUGGGGUAGUGGCUUACCAAGGCUUUGCCGGGUAGCCGGCCUGAGAGGGUGACCGGCCACAUUGGGACUGAGAUACGGCCCAGACUCCUACGGGAGGCAGCAGUGGGGAAUAUUGCACAAGGGGUGGAAGCCGGAUGCAGCAACGCCGUGUGCGGGAUGACGGCCUUCGGGUUGUAAACCGCUUUCGCUCAUGACGAAGCUUUGUGUGACGGUAGUGGGUAAAGAAGCACCGGCUAACUACGUG